rnacentral:rRNA from 1 species
CCAGAGUCCUACGGGAGGCAGCAGUGGGGAAUAUUGCACAAUGGGCGGAAGCCUGAUGCAGCAACGCCGCGUGCGGGAUGACGGCCUUCGGGUUGUAAACCGCUUUCGCCUGUGACGAAGCGUGAGUGACGGUAAUGGGUAAAGAAGCACCGGCUAACUACGUGCCAGCAGCCGCGGUGAUACGUAGGGUGCGAGCGUUGUCCGGAUUUAUUGGGCGUAAAGGGCUCGUAGGUGGUUGAUCGCGUCGGAAGUGUAAUCUUGGGGCUUAACCCUGAGCGUGCUUUCGAUACGGGUUGACUUGAGGAAGGUAGGGGAGAAUGGGAUUCCUGGUGGAGCGGUGGAAUGCGCAGAUAUCAGGAGGAACACCAGUGGCGAAGGCGGUUCUCUGGGCCUUUCCUGACGCUGAGGAGCGAAAGCGUGGGGAGCGAACAGGCUUAGAUACCCUGGUAGUCCACGCUGUAAACGGUGGGUACUAGGUGUGGGGUCCAUUCCGCGGGUUCCGUGCCGGAGCUAACGCUUUAAGUACCCCGCCUGGGGAGUACGGCCGCAAGGCUAAAACUCAAAGGAAUUGACGGGGGCCCGCACAAGA